GAAGAUAAAGGAACAGCUGCAAGAUACUGCAGAGUGAAGAAUGGUAAUUCAGCAGAAGCCAGAAAUCAAACCCAGAGGUACCAAGAGAAUGGGAAGCCCAGAAGUAUCUCAGGGAGUUUGGGAGAGCACCAACUUCCCAUAACACAUGGGAUGAGGUUUCCAGGAUUCAAUGAGAAGACAGCAGUCUGCAAUCCAGAAGAGGACCCUCACCAGAAUGCAACCCUGCCAGCAUGCUGAUCUAGGAUUUCUAGCCUUCCAAACUGCGAGAAAUAAAUUUCAUUUGUAUAUAAGCCA